CGCCGCGUGCACGCCCUCAUCUCCUACGUCAGCCGGCAAUUCCCCGACGUCGAGGUCAGCCGCAUCAAGCAGGUCCUCGCCUACAAGUGCAAGGAGAACUGCGCAGCGCUUCGCAUGAGGACCGCCAGGCUGUCCAACAACUGUUUCAGUGAGUCGACCAACUACAUGCUGAGUGCGGCCGCGCGCCCGCCCUGCGCCGGCGACGACGCGCCCCCGCCCGGCCUCGGGGCCGCGCCCUCGUCUCUCGGCAGCGCCAGAUCAUCAUAUUCUAACUUUACGAGCGAGGCAUC